GAGAAGACAAAGCGACCCGCUGCGCCCGUUCCGCAGAAGUGGCAGGGCCCUAAUGGGAUUGCUAAAUCAUGGAGGUACUUGGGAGCGUCCUCCCGCCGGCGUAAAUCAGCCCCGCUGAAAUCAGCUGCCUGCCGCUGAUUUACGCCGGGGAAGGGGGGAGAUGCUGGAUGGUUCCUCCGAGCAGCCCCGAGCCCCGGAGCGGUGGCAGGUGGCCACAAAUCGUCCGGCAGCGAGGGAAAUAACUCAGCAGCCCGAGCUGGGGCACGGCAGCUGGGAGAUGAGGGAGAUGCGGGAAGCCAGUGGGGGUUAGGGGUGGUGGAGGACUGGGUUUCAGAAUUCACCGGUCCUCGGCUUCCCAGCUCUGCUAGAGGCUGGGUUUCUCAUUUAUUUUUUGGAUGGGGGACUUAGCCACGAGCUGGGGCUGUGCGUUUUUGGUGCUCACAGCUGCAAUCCAGUGGCAGCAGGGCUGGGGCCACCGCAUCCUUGGGUGAUGCUGGCCCCAACCUGGGGAGAACCGGGGGCUUCCACCACAACCCCCAUGCUGGAUGCUGAAUUUCUUUCCCCCACCCCGUGCUGCAGGAACAGCCGUGUUUCCCCCUGCACAGCACAAGCCCCGACGCGCUUCCAGAAGCGUGGGCACGCUGCGUGCUCGCAGGCACGGUCAGGAUGCGGCUCCCAGGACUCGUUUCUGUCCCUGCGCUGCUUUACAGCACCGCAAAUCACCACGGCGGGAUGCCAGCCCGUGGAAAUACCUGCGGCAGGCAGGUAAAAGCAGCAUUUUUUCAUCCCCAGACGCUGCUCAGUGCGUGGGGAGUCGAGCUCGGCAGAUGGUGCCAAGAGCUGCCAGCCGCUUGCUGUGCUCCUGGUGUCGAGCUGGUGUGACCCCGGGCACGGCUCAGCCUGGCACCCUUGGCCGUGUUGGAGGAGAUAACACCCAGCACGCUGCCUGCAGCCAGAUAUUUACGGGCAGGGGGGGCUUUCCUGGGCCCCCUGGCCACGCUGCAGCCCCAGAGCAGGCUGCAGCUCCCUGCCCCUGCCUGCAGCCCCCAGGCUGUGCUGCCCGGGUGCUGCCCCAAAGCCAGGCAGAGGCUGCCACUUAGUGUCGGGAAGGGAGCACGGCUGCUGCAGCACCCUGUGCUGCGGGCGAGGAGCCCGUGGUUGGGGGCUGGCCUGGCCUGGGGGGGUCCCAGCACCCCACAGCUGCAGUUUGGGUGGCCCCAGCUCCAGCCGUACCUGCCCUCACUGCGCAGCGUGGUGCUGGGCUAUAGUGGGAUGCACGGGGCUGUGGCACCAGAAACUGGCAGAGCUGCUGGCAAGCAGGAGUGCAGGCGAUGCAGGAUGGGUCAGAGAGAAGAAGCAGCAGGCUGGGGUUUCGGUGGGACAGAGCUCCCCAUCCCUCAGCCUUUUGGGGAAACCGAGGCAGGGAGCAGCAGGGCAGGGCUGGGCAGCCCAGCGCCGCUCUGUGCUCCCCCUGCCCCGAGCACUCCUGCUCCUUCCCC